rnacentral:rRNA from 1 species
UACAGAGGGUGCAAGCGUUGUUCGGAAUUAUUGGGCGUAAAGGGCGUGUAGGCGGCUCAUUAAGUCUGCUGUGAAAUCUACGGGCUUAACCUGUAACGUGCAGCGGAAACUGGUGGGCUUGAGUGUCGGAGAGGAUAGGGGAAUACCCAGUGUAGAGGUGAAAUUCGUAGAGAUUGGGUGGAACACCAGUGGCGAAGGCGCCUGUCUGGCUGACAACUGACGCUGAGACGCGAAAGCAUGGGGAGCAAACAGG